rnacentral:rRNA from 1 species
AGUGAACGCUGGCGGUAGGCCUAACACAUGCAAGUCGAACGGCAGCACAGUAAGAGCUUGCUCUUACGGGUGGCGAGUGGCGGACGGGUGAGGAAUACAUCGGAAUCUACUUUUUCGUGGGGGAUAACGUAGGGAAACUUACGCUAAUACCGCAUACGACCUACGGGUGAAAGCAGGGGAUCUUCGGACCUUGCGCGAUUGAAUGAGCCGAUGUCGGAUUAGCUAGUUGGCGGGGUAAAGGCCAACCAAGGCGACGAUCCGUAGCUGGUCUGAGUGGAUGGUCGGCCACACGGGAACUGGAACACGGUCCAGGCUACUAUGGGAGGCAGCAGUGGGGAAUAGUGGACAGUGGGCGGAAGCCUGAUCCAGCCAUACCGAGUGGGUGAAGAAGACCUUCGGGUUGUAAAGCCCUUUUGUUGGGAAAGAAAAGCAGCAGGUUAAUACCCCGCGGUUCUGACGGUACCCAAAGAAUAAGCACCGGCUAACUUCGUG